UACAGAGGUCCCAAGCGUUGUUCGGAUUCACUGGGCGUAAAGGGUGCGUAGGUGGUGAGGUAAGUCGGAUGUGAAAUCUCCGGGCUCAACCCGGAAAUGGCAUUGGAAACUACCUUGCUAGAGGAUUUGAGGGGGAUUGGAAUACUUGGUGUAGCAGUGAAAUGCGUAGAUAUCAAGUGGAACACCAGUGGCGAAGGCGAAUCCCUG
rnacentral:rRNA from 1 species